rnacentral:lncRNA from 1 species
AAGGCUUUCUUAUUUUUUGGAAAAUUGAUUCUUAAAUAAGUAAUUUCCCUUUUUAAAGGUUUCAGUUGUCCUUUUACAUCACAUGUUUAAAGAAGACCAUUUUGAAAUUUCCCUUUUAUUUCAGAUCUCUAGAGUUAAGCAGCAGUGGGAAUUUGGUAAUUGUACCAACUCCUCACCUUCCCAGUAGGUCAAGGUCACCUCCACCGGUACCAGUCCAUAAUAGUCAGUCAGCUACCUCAGCUCUUAAAACCUCCAUUUUAUCUAGUAAAUCUUCUGUGACCAGUAGAAACUCAUCAUCCACAGCUAGCAAACCUUCAUCCUCCACAGGGAGUAAACUUAAUUCAGCAUUUCAGGUAAAUAUUUUGGUAUGAUAUAAUUAAUGUGGGUUAAAGUUUAAUUUUGGGGGCUUUCUAAGUACAACAUCCAUAUUGGUUCAAAGUAUGGAAUGCUUGAUAAAAACUAUCUUAUUUUUAACUUAGUUUAAAUUUAUUUAACUUGCUAAUUUAAAAAUAAAUGAUGAGACACAAGUAAAUCAUAUUUCAGAAGUCUUCUCCAUAUUUCUAAACCUAAUGACAGGGCUUUCAAAUCAUACAAUCAUCCAUAUGGUUUUUUUGCCACCACACCAUGUUGCCACUUUAAUUAAUGUUUUAUCUUUCUUUCUAUAAUUUUCAAUGUUAGUGCAAAUAAUAUAAAGUCCAUAUCUUGAAUACAUGUUGAAGAAAAACCAAUAGUCAAUAUUGUGGACUAAUUAUUUUUUGGAGAAUACUGAUUUUCAUGGAUUUCUUGUGUAUAGAGAAAUACCAAUUUAAAGACAAAACGUAGUACAAAAGUUUUCUAUAUGCAGGUUGUAACAAAACUACGAAAUCAACAUAAUUUAUAGGGUUAAAUAUUUAAUAAGCCCAAAAAUUUACCUUUUCCUAUUAAAAAAAACAACAUUUGAAUUCUUUCAGGAACCUGGAACUUCUAGAAAGUUUGACAAUUCAACAGAAGCUCAAACAGGACCAGCAAUAGUAGAUGCCUCUAAAAUUUCUGGUAUUAAUAGUCCUGUGUAAGUACUAGUAUAAGUAUAUUCUACAAUGUUCUAGCAAAUAUUUUAAAGUUCUAAAGAGUUUUACUGGGCAUUUUGUUAGUUAGAAAGACUUGCUAAUCAAUCCGAUGAUCUUGUGGUAGCCUACUGGCCUUAAGUAUAGGAGGUUUGGGUUCAACAUAUGAAUGUCUGACAUCCUAAUCCUUUUAUAACAGGUCACUGGUGGAUCCUUGUCUCAUUUGUAUUUAUACCACAUCUUGUUUAUAUAAACAUUUUUAAAUUGGGUUGUGGAUUUUUUUGCUGUUUACCUGCAUGGAUCAUUUAGGAAAUAUAGUUUGAUCUUAGAAAGGAUAAUGUGCCCAUAAGGGGUUACAUGUCUUUGCACAGUCUUCUUCUUUUUGAAACCAAAACAUAUAUAUGCUAAAUAGCUCAGUGUUUUAGUAUUGAUAUCAAGGCUAAAUUUUUUUUUAUUAAUUUUUGUAGAUAUACAGCAUUAUUUAAUUAUAAACCCCACAGAGAGGAUGAAAUAGAACUGAGGAAGGGAGAUUAUUACACUGUGUGUGAUAAAUGUCAAGAUGGGUGGUUUAGAGGACAGUGUUUAAAGACGGGAAAACCUGGUGUUUUUCCUGGCAAUUAUGUUCAAAUGGUCAGGUAAUGUAUUAGACUUUUGAGUAUUUUAUUUGUAGUACUAUUAUUUAAACUUAGAUUGAAAGUUAUACUGUAGAAAGUAUGACAUAUUUUGCAUUGGAGUUAUUUCCCUUGGGCUCUUAUAUCGGAGGUCAAAGAUGAUAAUUUUGUUAUUUCGUCUAACCAAGUUUAAACAUGUGAUACCAGGGAAUCGGAUAAGAGAUUCUUACCGGCUUAUUCUUUUUCAAUAAGUGUAUAAGAUUUUUUUUAAAUAUUGAUUUUCACCUGAAAUUAAUUGAGAAAUCUGAAAAUAAAUCCCUCUUUUCAUUUUACUUUGAACUUUGAUCUUUUUUCAGGUUACCAAGUGCAUUUCUUCCUGUCAGUGGUAAUGUGAUGAACAUUCAUUCAAAAGGAAGCCAUUCUCUGGCGUCAUCGUCGUCAGCUCCUGCUGUAACUAUGUCAACUUCGUCAGGUCACAGAACAAGUACAUCACCAAUCAGGCCAGGGUCUACACCAUCGCUUCAGAAUUCAUCAUCACAGCAAGCAGAAUCAUCUUCUGGUCCCCCUCCCAUUACACCAAGAAGCUCAAAAUCAUUAGCCAAACUUUCAUCCUCAGCGCCAUUACGAUCAUCAUCUAACAGUAAAACCUCAUCUCAUUCUUCAGCGAGUAGCAAAUCGUCAGCAACAAAAUCAACAAAUUCUGGAUCAUCGUCACCUAGAUCAGCUUCUAGUAGAUCAUCAUCAUCAUCACUUAAGCCAGCAGAUAGCAGUGGAACAAAAGCGAAAUCCCCACACCGCCACACCAAUCAUAAUGGUCCAACAGUAGGUAUUGAAGGUCAUCUUGACCUUAGUGUGACCUCAGGACAUUCCAGUCAUCGUACAUCUAGCUCAAAACAAGUUGUUUACAGAAAGCCUAAUGCUGUUGGGAUGCCACAAGUAAUGUCUGCCUCCUCAAAUAUUACACCACCUAAUGUUGUGGCUGGGGCAACAGGUGAAAUACCUGGGAUCAAGGAUAAUAAGGUUUGUAUAUAUCAUACUUUUAUUUUAUAAGUUUUGGUUUAGGAUAAGUAACUUUAUAGAUUUCUAGAUCAACACUUUCAUAUUUUAAAAAUGCCAAUUUUUUUAGCUUCAUAUGUUGAUGCUACUUCAUGAAAGAAUGGUGUAAGAUUGGGUUAGACCAAAAAGGCAAAGUUUUUUUCUGAUUUUAGGAAAACAUCUGGCGUUAUUCAGUCGGGGAAAUUAAACAUGUCAAGUUUGUUCUACGUUUGUAAACAAUAUUCCUAUUAUUGUGUAUACAAUUUGAUUGCAAUUAUUUUUGUUUAAAUCAGAAUGCUUCAUCAUGAUAAAUGUAUUAUUCUGUUGGGUUAUUUUAAGAUUUCAGAUACUAUAGUAUAUAAACAGUCCUUCUUUCCAGUGUUUUUGAUUUGAUUUGAAUUUUUUUAUUAUUUAUGAAUAGAAGGACAAGAAAGAAAAGGAAAAACUAAGUCUGGUAAAAAGACUGACCUCUGGUAAGAGCAAGAAAUCAAAAUCCCCUGGACUUGAAAGUGAUGGGUCUGGUACUGAGAGUAUUGGUAAUCAUGUCAGGUAAGUGUCUAGUUUAGAGAAAUUUUUUAUAUUCAUUUUCCAGAUAACAGCUGAUGCAUAUAUUAAAAUUAUGUUUUGGUCAAAUUUUUGUUAUGCCUGCAAUUCUCUGAAAAACUUGACUUGAUGGGAACCCAUGGUGUAAGGAUUUGUUUUAUAGUCGUGCAGCAUGUCAUUUAAAUUUGAUAAAUGUUACAAAACAAUUCCAUACCAUAUCUUUCACCAGAUUUUAAUGAUCCAUUUUAUUACUCAUGGAAUUAUUACUGCUCUGUAGGAAAACUAGUGGAAUCAUGCCAAAACUGGUAAAGUAAUUGAGAGAGGCAUUAGACAACAUUGAAUGGUAGUUCUAGUUAAUUCAAAAUGUUUGUAGUUAGAUGCAUCUCUGUUUUUUUCAGAUCUGGGUCUUGUCCAGCAGAUAGUAAUAGUCUGUUUGGAGCAGAGGGAAGUCAGCAUAUGAAAACUGGUUCCUUUGAUUCUACUGUACCUCUUGUACCUCAGCAAAAAAUAAGUAGACCAAAACCUGUAGUUAGAGAAAAGUAAGUAAAACUUUAAGACAAAAUACACAUUUUGAAAUCAUUCAAAAAAAGUAGGGGAUUUUUCUGUGUCAUGUGAAACUAAUUUGUUUCUAUGAAUGUAAGGCAAGUCAAUAAGGUUUCAGAGAACAUUUAAAUGCAUAUGAAACCUCAAAUUAAAAAAAAAUGAUGCAUAUAUGUUUUUUAUAACAAAAUGGAUAGUUUUCAUUAUUAAACUUAUGUACAUAUACUUUUUUCUGAAGAAAAUUCUUUAAUUUGUCUACAUUUAGACGAAGCUUACUUUUUUUAAUUGCUUGCUUCCAGACCCUGUCACUGAAAUAAACUAUUAUCUGAUUGUACAUGAUGAACACGUGCUAAAUAUCCAUGCUUUUUUGUUGACUGUUUACUAUAAGGUGACAAUCGGUAAACUUCGGUGUCAAAACACGGCAUUUAAUGAGCUGCCAUAUUUGUUAAAUCAUAACAGACAGAGAGAAGAAAAAUAUUGACGAUUAUACGAUAUAUUUGCGUAAAAAAUUAUAAAAUUGUGCACAAAAGACUAAGUUUAUGAUAUAUACAUGCAUUGGUUCAAGAAUUGAAUAAUUAAUAUUGUUCACCAGUUAAUCGUUUUAUGUGACUUUAAUGGAUUUUGAUGAUGUCACAUGAGACAACACACUUUGAAAUGAAAGGACCACUGUAAUUCUUUGAACAUCAUAUGAGAAUUCUCAUUUAAGAGCUGCAUUGGAUGGAUAUCAACCUUAUGCAGAUAAAUAUCAAUACAUAGAUAUUAUUUCUCUACACAAAAAUUGUAACUGUUUGAAAACUGUGAUGGUAUAAGAACCCUACAAAACAAGACUAAAUUCCUUUUUCUGCCAACACUCAAAGUCUAAUAAAUGUCAUGAUUCUAAGCACUUCCUUAAGGUCGACUUCUAUCUGAAGCAGCUCAUAUAUUUAGAUUUAUUUUUCUGCUUGUAAAGUUAGAUAUACCAUGUUUUACAGAUACAGGUGUGUUGUUCCUUAUCCACCUCAGAGUGAUGUUGAACUAGAACUUAAAGUAGGAGAUGUUGUUUAUGUUCACAAGAAAAGGGAAGAUGGAUGGUUUAAAGGAACACUUCAACGAUUGGGAAAAACUGGACUUUUUCCUGGAAGUUUUGUAGAAAAAUGUGAAAAUGUAUGAAAAUUAUCAUAACAGCACAAUGAAUGCAAGUGUUGAUACAUGUAUGCAGUAAUGUCCAUGUAUGUGAAAUUGUUUUAUGAUAUGAUAUUGUGUAAGUUCUUUAGAAGUGUUGACUAGUUUUUGUGAUGUUUGAAUAUUUGAUAGUUAAAUAGUUAUUGAUUUUAUGGUUUCAUAUUUUUCACAGGACAAAUAUUUUUUUAUUAAUUUGUAUAUAAAAAAAGGAAACCAAUGAAAAUUCCUUCCCAACUAAUAAGAGUUCAAAGAACAAAUGGAUUUGUUUUUGUUAGCUCACCUGGCCUAAAAGGCCAUGUGAGCUUUUCUCAUCACUUGGCGACCGUCGUCGUCGUCGACGUCUGUCGUCGUUAACAAUUUUUCAAACAUCUUCUCCUCUGAAACUACUGAAUGGAUUUGAAUGAAACUUAGCAUGAUUGUUCCUUAGAUUAUCCUGCACAAAGUGUGUGCUUCGAAUUUUAAUCCGUCAAAAAACAUGGCCGCCGUUACUCAAAAUAGAACAUAGGGGUCAAAUGCAGUUUUUGGCUUAUAUCUCAAAAACGAAAGCAUUUAGAGCAAAUCUGACAUGGGGUAAAAAUGUUCAUUAGGUCAAGAUCUAUCAGCCCUGAAAUUUUCAGAUGAAUCAAACAAACCAUUGUUGGGUUGCUGCCACUUAAUUGGUAAUUUUAAGGAAAUUUUGCAGUUUUUGGUCAUUAUCUUGAAUAUUAUUAUAGAUAAAGAUAAACUGUAAACAGCAAAAAAUGAUCAGCAAAGUAAGAUCUACAAUAAGUUAAUAUGACCAAAAUUGUCAAUUGACCCUUAAGGGGUUAUUGUCCUUUAAUGACAAUUUUUCACAAUUUGUUCAUCAUAUUUGCUAACUUUAAAAAAUCUUCUCCUCUAAAACUACUAAACCAAAUUCUACCAAACUUCAACUGAAUGAUCAGUAGGGUGUAUAAAAUAAAGUUUGUGCUUUAUUUUUUAUUUCGUCAAAAAACAUGGCCGUCAUGGUUAAAAAUAGAACACAGGGUAAAAUGCAGUUUUUGGCCUAUAUCUCAAAAACGCCAGCAUUUAGAGCAAAUAAGACAAGAAGUUAAAGUAUUUAUUAGGUCAAGGUCUACCUGUCCUGAAAUUUUCAGCCGAAUUGGGUAACUGGUUUUUCAGGUAUAAUGCCCCUGAAUUGAUGAUUUUAAAGAAAUUUUGCAGUUUUUGGUUAUUAUCUUGAAUAUUAUUAUAGAUACAGAUAAACUGUUAAUAACAAAAAUGUUAAGCAAAGUAAGAUCUACAAAUAAGUCAAUUUGACCAAAAUUGUCAAUUGACCCCUUAAGGAGUUAUUGCCCUUUAAAGACUUUUUUCACAAUUUGUUCAUCAUGUUGACUUACUUUAAAAAAAUCUUCUCCUUUGAACUGCUGUAUCAAUUUCAGCCAAACUUAGGCUAAAUGAGUUUCAGAGUAUCUAGUAUAAAUUUUAUAUUUCAUUUCCUUGUAUGUCAGAAACAUAGCUCCUAUGGCUUAAAUAGAACAUAGGAGAAAAUAAUUUUUUUUUUGCUUUUGAAGAAAAUAGGACGAUUCAAAGAACAUUUAAAUAAAUUGAAAAGCCAAAAUAAUCAUUGAUGAGAGAUUUAACCAAAAAAAUUAAGGUGAGCGAUUCAGGCUCUUGAGAGCCUCUUGUUUUGAAAGUUUAAGAAUGAGGUAGGUUUCUUCUUACAGAACAUGUCAACUUCAAUGUCAUUUGGUCCUUGGUGGAGAGUUGUCUCAUUGGCAUUCAUACCACAUCUUUUUAUUUUAAUGUGUAUAGAAAUUCUAAAAUAAAGAUUUCAAACUUAAGAAAGCUCAGUUAGCAACAAUAGGAGGAUAGAACAAACCCCUGAUAAAUAAAUGUUGCAUUAUUUUUCAAAACUAUUAAAAAACAAGAUAUAAAGCAAUGUUGGCAUUUAUAUCACUGUGUCAGUCAAUUUUGUAAAUAUUACAUGUUUAGUGCCACACUUAUCAUAAUGCUGUAUUAGCUGACAGUAUAUAUUUAAACUUAGUGCUGUUACCUCACCUGAAUUAAGGACUAUUUGAGGAUUAUCAUGUGUCAUCUAUUCGACUAUCAUUUGUUUACAUUCAAUAUUAUUAAUGUCAUCUUAUGAAUGGUACUUUUUUGGCAUGGAAGAACUAGAAAAUGGAAAAAGGGUAUCUGUCAAAAUUUAGGUCUUAAAAAAAGUCUAAUGAAAAUUAGUUAAUUACACUAUUUAGUACAAUCAAAUUUUAAAAGUUUCAUACUGACAACUUCCUGGUUAUUAACAGUUUCUACAUGACACUUUAACUUGUGUGUUCCAGAACUGUGUAUGUAAAUACUUUUGACAGAAGGUGAUAUUUAGUAAUGUUGGAAAUAAAAUUUAAGAUUGUUGCAGCAGAAUAAAAUUUUUAAUGCAAUGUAAUUCAUCUGGCACGAAAAAUGCCUGUUUUGGUAUAAUAUUUUGUUUAUUUAUACAUGCAAGCCUAUGUAUUUACUUGAUAUUAAAUUGUAUAUAAUAUUCAUUUAUGCCAUCUAUUGUACAUUUUUCAAGAUGAGAUUGUCAAUAUUAUUAUUGGGCUUUGACCUUUUACUUUGUUUGAGGUCAUAUGCAAUGUUCUUGAUGCAUUUGAAAAUACUGAGAACGGAAAGUAGGUUAUGGAAAACUAUUUUUUUUCUAAAAAAAAAUGUAUGCUGAAUAUAUAUAUCUA